AUCAUCAGUAGUGGUUAAUACUAUCUCAAGAUAAUAUUAAUUACAAUUUUUUAUAGAAACCGAAUGUUUUGAUCGUCUGUGUAUUAAAGAGCGAGGUUUGUGGCUUUCGUCUUCGGGCAAAAGUUGGGGCCUUGCUUAAGUUGAUACUGGUACUUGACGGUUAAUUCAAGCAAUAACCCAUAGCUGAAUGGGCUUUGACCACUCCCAAACAGGGUGGCCACAAAGUCCAUUUCGUUUCCGGUUUCUUAGAUUAUCUUCUGCUAUGAGGGAGCCCGGGCCUCUAGAGGCCUGGGAGUGCAUGCUAUCCAGAGGAGCGUGUAAUGCGCUCUGAGAGUUUGGGUUUACCCGUUGUGCCCUCCUUCAUGCCAGUACAUUC
rnacentral:snoRNA from 1 species